GACGAACGCUGGCGGCGUGCCUAAUACAUGCAAGUCGAACGCUGAAGGAGGAGCUUGCUUCUCUGGAUGAGUUGCGAACGGGUGAGUAACGCGUAGGUAACCUGCCUGGUAGCGGGUGAUAACUCUUGGAAACGAUAGCUAAUACCGCAUAAGAGUUGAUGUUGCAUGACAUUUGCUUAAAAGGUGCAAUUGCAUCACUACCAGAUGGACCUGCGUUGUAUUAUCUAGUUGGUGGUGUAACGGCUUACCAAGGCGACGAUAGAUAGCCGACCUGAUGAGGGGAUCGGCCACACUGGGACUGAGAAACGGCCCAGACUCCUAAGGGAGGCAGCAGUAGGGGAUCUUCGGCAAUGGGCGGAAGUCUGACCGAGCAACGCCGCGUGAGGGAAGAAGGUUUUCGGAUCGUAAAGCUCUGUUGUAAGAGAAGAACGAGUGUGGGAGUGGAAAGUUCACACUGUGACGGUAUCUUACCAGAAAGGGACGGCUAACUACGUG
rnacentral:rRNA from 1 species